UACGGAGGGUGCAAGCGUUAAUCGGAAUUACUGGGCGUAAAGCGUGCGCAGGCGGUUUGUUAAGUCUGUUGUGAAAUCCCCGAGCUCAACUUGGGAAUUGCAAUGGAUACUGGCAGGCUGGAGUAUGGUAGAGGAAGGUGGAAUUCCCGGUGUAGCAGUGAAAUGCCUAGAGAUCGGGAGGAACACCAGUGGCGAAGGCGGCCUUCUGGACCAAUACUGACGCUCAUGCACGAAAGCGUGGGGAGCAAACAGG
rnacentral:rRNA from 1 species